ACAUAAGUGCCAGAAGGAAUGGGUUGGUUUUAAGCAUCAAAUAUGGAGUUUUCCCUUGUGUA
rnacentral:tRNA from 1 species